rnacentral:misc_RNA from 1 species
GAUGAAGAACGUAGCGAAAUGCGAUAAGUAAUGUGAAUUGCAGAAUUCAGUGAAUCAUCGAAUCUUUGAACGCACAUUUCGCCCGCCAGUAUUCUGGCGGGCAUGCCUGUUCGAGCGUCAUUUCAACCAUCAAGCCCCCCGGCUUGUGUUGGGGACCUGCGGCUGCCGCAGGCCCUGAAAAGCAGUGGCGGGCUCGCUGUCACACCGAGCGUAGUAGCAUACAUCUCGCUCUGGGCGUGCUGCGGGUUCCGGCCGUUAAACCACCUUCAUAACCCAAGGUUGACCUCGGAUCAGGUAGGAAGACCCGCUGAACUUAAGCAUAUCAAUAAGCGGAGGA